CCCAUACCGAACACGGAAGUUAAGCUCUCUAGCGCCGAUGGUAGUUGGGACCUUGUCCCUGUGAGAGUAGGACGUCGCCAAGCU
rnacentral:rRNA from 1 species